AUUUAACUGAAGAGUCCCAAAUACGAUUAAAUGCGCAUCCUGAAU
rnacentral:hammerhead_ribozyme from 1 species